rnacentral:rRNA from 1 species
UACGUAGGUGGCAAGCGUUAUCCGGAAUUACUGGGCGUAAAGCGCACGCAGGCGGUCUUUUAAGUUUGACGUGAAAGCUCUCGGCUUAACUGGGAGAGGUCGUUGAAUACUGGGAGACUUGAGGCAAUGAGAGGGGUGUAGAAUUCCUGGUGUAGUGGUGGAAUGCGUAGAUAUCAGGAGGAAUACCAGUGGCGAAAGCGGCACCCUAGCGUUGUUCUGACGCUCAUGUGCGAAAGCGUGGGGAGCGAACGGG